rnacentral:rRNA from 1 species
GACGAACGCCGGCGGCGUGCUUAACACAUGCAAGUCGAACGGAAAGGCCCUGCUUUUGUGGGGUGCUCGAGUGGCGAACGGGUGAGUAACACGUGAGUAACCUGCCCUUGACUUUGGGAUAACUUCAGGAAACUGGGGCUAAUACCGGAUAGGAGCUCCUGCUGCAUGGUGGGGGUUGGAAAGUUUCGGCGGUUGGGGAUGGACUCGCGGCUUAUCAGCUUGUUGGUGGGGUAGUGGCUUACCAAGGCUUUGACGGGUAGCCGGCCUGAGAGGGUGACCGGCCACAUUGGGACUGAGAUACGGCCCAGACUCCUACGGGAGGCAGCAGUGGGGAAUAUUGCACAGUGGGCGGAAGCCUGAUGCGGCAACGCCGCGUGCGGGAUGACGGCCUUCGGGUUGUAAACCGCUUUCGCCUGUGACGAAGCGUGAGUGACGGUAAUGGGUAAAGAAGCACCGGCUAACUACGUG